CACCUUUAACUAGUUCUUGUUUUGUCGUCUUCCAUUUAUGAAAACAGCUUAUAAGUGCAUCUGAAUCAUCCAUAGAUGCUUAUGUCUGAAAUGCUCACUACGGACUAAAAAAGAAAAAGAACCUAGAUACGCAAAAAUUAGGUUCCUGCCUAAAAGAUGUGGUAAUGGUACUCUUGAAUGGAAGAAAAGAUUAGAGUUAAGUUAAAGAAAAGAAAGGAGUAUAUGGGAGAAAGCAGAGUGCGAGAAAUAAGGGUGUGAAGGAAACGGAGUAUGAUCAUCGAGGAUCGAGAAUUGCACAAGGUAGAUGAAGAGGCAUGCACCAAAAAUUAAAUCAUUCUGCAAAGUUUCUGUAUUCAUUUGAUGGUAAGUCCUCUUCUUUUAUGUUAUUUUUCUUACCCCAACGGAGAGGGAAAAAACCAGUAAUGACUAACCUUCGCUCUUAGAGUCUCGAUAUCAGCUUUCAAAAUUCUGUUGUCAACAGCAGCAUCGUCGUACUUUUGAUUUACAUCUGUGAGACGCUUUAACAAAGUAGAGUGUUCAACCCUAAGUUGACCAACCUUUAUAAAAGGAACCACAUUCAGAAAAUGUUUUGAUAAUAUAGAAAAAUACCCGAGAACAUUUGAGGGUAAACAUUUUGCGGUACCUGUGUCUCAAGUUCAUUCAAGUGUGCUUGUUUUCUUCGUCUGGAGCGUCUUGCUGAUUCUCUAUUUGACAACAUCCUAGGCCACCAUCAAUGUCAAGUGAGUAAAGCUAGGACCGGGCAACAAAUUGGGUAGAAGGAUUGAUUUUUCCCAUAGGGCCUUCUUUUUUCUCUCCUCACUAAUUUGUUUAUUUGCUGAUUAGAAUAAGACCAUUCACUAGACAAGUAAGGGGACAAGAUGGAAGAUGCUAUCUUCCUUACCCUAAGGCUAAAACCAAUAAAGAUUACAAAAACACUCUUCAAUAGUAGCAACAAUAAAAGAGGAUAGUUGUUUUUAAAUGCAAAGCAAAGUGAAACAUGCUUAAUGUAUCUCUAGUCGUAAAAAUUACAGAAUUCCAAAAUAUUUGAUCAAAACAUCAGACUUUAACCGUUCCUUUUCACAAAUGUACAAGGAAAAUGCGAAGGGAACCG
rnacentral:lncRNA from 1 species